UGCUAUGGCCAUGCUACCCUGAACAAGCCUGAUCCCAUCUGAUCUUGGAAGCUAAGCAUGGUCGGGCCUGGUUAUUACUAGGAUGGGAGACCACCUAGGAAGACCAGGCGCUUGUAGGCG
rnacentral:rRNA from 1 species